AGAAAAAAAGAGGAGAAGAGAAGAGAAGAGAAGAGAAGAGAAGAGAAGAGAAGAGAAGAGAAGAGAAGAGAAGAGAAGAGAAGAGAAGAGAAGAGGACUGUAAGAUGGCUAGUUAUCAUCAAGUACCAGUGUUAGACAGCAGAAUGUCAUUUGACGUUGUGAUGGGGACUGGUUUUAAGAAUCUCAGAUGUCAUCCUUUGCAAAUUGGCAAAUAAACAUAAGGCCUGAAGGCAGCCUGAAUGGACUACUCAGAGAUGACCAAGGGAAAAACAUGUAGAAAAAAGAGGGAAAAUGGGAUAUGGUCUCAAGAUGAAGACGUGGGGGAUCACACGCUUCGAGAACUUGGUUACAAUCUGAAGUAAGGAAAUGUUGCUCCUUGGGGGCCUGGCUGACAAAUAAACACACAACCUUGAAACAUAAUAUUCAGUCAACGAACAGCAGCAAAUAAAUUGUGACAUACCAGGCACUGUAAUGCCCUAUAAUAGGGAUUAUUACAGGGAUUCAUACAUUAUUAUAAAUAGGGAUUUUUUUAUUAUGUAAACUUAAUAGAAAAUUUAAUUGCAAAAUAUCUAUCACUAUGAAAAUUUUCUAAAGAAACACUGGUUUGCUUCUCUUAAAUGAAAGAAGAAUAUUUUUUUCAUGUAAUAAUUUGUCUUCUGUUCCCCUCUUCUCUUCUUACAUUUGUUUCCAGAACUGUGCAUUGGCUAUUUUGCAUGCUUUCCUUUAUUCAGGCAUGAAGCCUUACAUGAUAGUAAAUUGUUUUGCUAGAUUAAUAUUCUGUCAAGUAGAUUUGGUAUGAUUUGAAUUUUAAAGCAAUUCACAUUAUUGCAUAUUUAUGCUUAAGGAACUAUAACAAAAUAAAACUUACACUUCUGAAAUUGAAAGUUGUUAAAAUCAAGCUCUGUUGAUUUUGGGUUUGGCUGUCCACAUAUUUUAUUAAUUUCUACACAUUAAAUGCAGUGUUUUUUUUUUUCUCAAUAUUUAUACCUGGCUUUGAAUAAUAACCCUGACUAGUGUUUAAUAAACGUGAGUGAAAAACAACCUCUUGAUGACAAAAAAAAAACAACGUUUCACGAAGAAUUUUUCAUAUGGGCAAUAGUUCGCAGUACCAAGACUCUAAGCCUUGGCUUUGGCUAAAUGUAUUAUCACACCUUGAGUGAAUUUCAGUGGAAUAAACCAUAAAUAAAGAGAACCGAUAUUUCACAUAAGAUAGAUUUCUGGUAUUGCUGUUUUGGGGAGACAGGUACCAUUCCUGAAAGAAUCUGUAUGCUAAACUGCAUUUAAAAUUUCUUAAAGAGAAAAUUCAUAGGUAAACAUAUAUUUGAUGAACAUGGCAAGUUAAAGCUUAACACUUUCAUAAUUGCUUUCCACUGCUACUCUACAAUUACUCUUCCAGGAAGAAAAUUGUGUAGAA